UACGAGGGGUGCAAGCGUUGCUCGGAAUUAUUGGGCGUAAAGGGUAGGUAGGUGGUCUCAUUUGUCUGGGGUGAAAGCCUUGAGCUUAACUCAAGAAGUGCCCCAGAAACGGUGAGACUGGAGUCCUGGAGAGGGUCGUGGAAUUCCCGGUGUAGCGGUGAAAUGCGUAGAGAUCGGCAGGAACACCCAGGGGGAAACCAGCCGACUGGGCAUCUACUGACGCUGAGGUGCGAGAGCGUGGGGAGCGAACCGG
rnacentral:rRNA from 1 species